rnacentral:rRNA from 1 species
CACGUAGGGCGCAAGCGUUGUCCGGAAUUAUUGGGCGUAAAGAGCUCGUAGGCGGUCUGUUGCGUCCGCUGUGAAAACUCGGGGCUUAACCCCGAGCCUGCAGUGGAUACGGGCAGACUAGAGGUAGGUAGGGGAGAAUGGAAUUCCCGGUGUAGCGGUGAAAUGCGUAGAGAUCGGGAGGAACACCCGUGGCGAAGGCGGCCUGCUGGGCCGAUCCUGACGCUGAGGCGCGAAGGCGUGGGGAGCGAACGGG